rnacentral:rRNA from 1 species
UUGAACGCUGGCGGCAGGCCUAACACAUGCAGGUCGCACGGUAACAGGAAGCAGCUUGCUGCUUUGCUGACGAGUGGCGGACGGGUGAGUAAUGUCUGGGAAACUGCCCGAUGGAGGGGGAUAACUACUGGAAACGGUAGCUAAUACCGCAUAACGUCGCAAGACCAAAGAGGGGGACCUUAGGGCCUCUUGCCAUCGGAUGUGCCCAGAUGGGAUUAGCUAGUAGGUGGGGUAACGGCUCACCUAGGCGACGAUCCCUAGCUGGUCUGAGAGGAUGACCAGCCACACUGGAACUGAGACACGGUCCAGACUCCUACGGGAGGCAGCAGUGGGGAAUAUUGCACAAUGGGCGCAAGCCUGAUGCAGCCAUGCCGCGUGUAUGAAGAAGGCCUUCGGGUUGUAAAGUACUUUCAGCGGGGAGGAAGGGAGUAAAGUUAAUACCUUUGCUCAUUGACGUUACCCGCAGAAGAAGCACCGGCUAACUCCGUG